AACGAACGCUGGCGGCAGGCUUAACACAUGCAAGUCGAACGCCCCGCAAGGGGAGUGGCAGACGGGUGAGUAACGCGUGGGAAUCUACCCUUCACUACGGAACAACUCCGGGAAACUGGAGCUAAUACCGUAUACGUCCUUCGGGAGAAAGAUUUAUCGGUGAUGGAUGAGCCCGCGUUGGAUUAGCUAGUUGGCGGGGUAAUGGCCCACCAAGGCGACGAUCCAUAGCUGGUCUGAGAGGAUGAUCAGCCACAUUGGGACUGAGACACGGCCCAAACUCCUACGGGAGGCAGCAGUGGGGAAUAUUGGACAAUGGGCGAAAGCCUUAUCCAGCCAUGCCGCGUGAGUGAUGAAGGCCCUAGGGUUGUAAAGCUCUUUCACCGAUGAAGAUAAUGACGGUAGUCGGAGAAGAAGCCCCGGCUAACUUCGUGCCAGCAGCCGCCGCCGUAA
rnacentral:rRNA from 1 species